rnacentral:tRNA from 1 species
UCCCUGGUGGUCCAAUGGCUAAGGCUCUGCACUCCCAAUGCAGGGGGCCAGGUUCAAUCCCUGGUCAGAGAA